rnacentral:tRNA from 1 species
GCGGACGGUUCGCCGGACGGAGGCCCACGAAUCAGUGCAGAACGGCACCCGCUGGACGCUUGUCCUGACCUUGCCAAGGUGAGGGUCGCCGGUUCGAGUCCGGUCGUCCGCUCCA